CAGAAGCCUGUUCCCCGUACCUGUUUUUCUUAAGCCUACAUCAAGCAUGCCUGGUGGCUAGUAUGAUUUCUCAUGGGUUCUAUUUUAAGCAGUACAUUGUUCUGAGGGACGGUUACAUAGGGGCUCACACUUCCUGAUUUCAAAACAGACUGCGAAGCCACGGGAACCCAGACAGCGGGGCACUAUCUUGAGGACAGACGUACAGACCAACAGAAGAGAGCUUAGAGUCCAAGCAUAACCCCACAAAAAGGUACGGUGAACUGAUUUCCAACAAGGGUGCCAACGGCGCUGAGACUACGGACACCACGCGGCAAGGUCGACAGUCAGACCACAAGCUUACAGACCACACACAAGUCAACUCGAAACGGAUCCAAGACCCCACAGAAGAGCUGAAACUACAGAACAGACAGAAAUAUGAGAAUAAACUUUGGGACCUUGGAUUAGGCACCGGGUUUCUUAAAUGGGACGUUAAGCACCAAAAGAGGAGAGAUCAACUGCACUUCGGCAAACUAAAACAUCUGCACGUCACAGGUGAGAAGACAACCUCCAAGAGGACAGAGCACAGGUGAACCACCAGACCAACAGCCAGAUGAGUAAAGGGACAGAGACUUGACCAGGAACAACCAACGAGCAGGUGAGAAGGCGCCGGCAGCAGCACGCACCAAGGAAACGCACGGCGGACCACGGCGACACGCCACUGCCGGUCAGGGGGACUGCUCUCAUUUUGUUGAGGUCGUGGUCUCCGGGCCAGGCUGUGCGCUCAGUCUGCUUCCCCCUCCCUCUGUCCCUGCUCGUGUGCUUUCUCUCUUUCUGAAACAUAUAAAUCGACCUUUUCAAAAGAAGUGACACGAGCUGUGACACGACCGUCACUCCACUCCUUGGAGCACUAAAGAGGAGUAAGAACGUGUCCACACAAACGUGGCCAACAGCGUUAUUCCUAAGAGCCAAGAAAACUGGAAAUGCCCAAACGUCCAUUGAUCGAUGAAUAAAGAAGCAGAAUACAUUAUGUCCUU